rnacentral:RNase_MRP_RNA from 2 species
AACAUGUUCAAAGAAUCGUCAGUAUUCAAAGCUUACUAGAGGAUCCACAAAACUUGUUUUCGGGUUCCUAUUGAAAUGCUUUGGGAUGAAAGUCUCCGACCUGACCAUAUGCGGAAAACGCAGUGAGAUUUAAAAACUUAUACAAUGUUUAAAUCAACUCACUAAGGCACCUGUUUGCUCUACGCAUACAGUAUGCCUUCCUCUCCUGUGCACAUUUAUUGUGUUCAGUGAAGUUCGGUAGUCAACGUCCUUUUUAUGGUGUUUGAACGAUAGUUAUGACGAUUGCCUGGGGCCUUUGCACUAGGUAACCCAAUGGAGCUUACUUCUUGGACCAUGU